rnacentral:misc_RNA from 1 species
UCUCCGUAGGUGAACCUGCGGAGGGAUCAUUACCGAGCUCAUGCCCUAUCGGGUAGAUCUCCCACCCUGUGUUUUUAUUACCUUUGUAACUUUGGCGGACCGCCGCGCUCCGGGCUGGCUAACGGCUCCGGCUGGUAAGCUCCGGUCAGUAGACCCCAAACCCUUAAUGUUUGUUGUGUGUGAAUAAUUAUGAAUAGUUAAAACUUUCAACCAAGGAUCACUUGGUUCUCGCAUCGAUGAAGCACGGAGCAAGACGGAAGAAGACACGACGGGAAUCCC